rnacentral:rRNA from 1 species
AAGCGCGCAGGCGGUUUGUUAAGUGAGAAGUGAAAGCCCUCGGCUUAACCGGGGAACGGCUUCUCAUACUGGCAGACUAGAGGAUGGGAGAGGAAAGCGGAAUUCCCGGUGUAGCGGUGAAAUGCGUAGAGAUCGGGAGGAACACCAGUGGCGAAGGCGGCUUUCUGGACCAUUACUGACGCUGAGGCGCGAAAGCGUGGGGAGCAAACA